rnacentral:misc_RNA from 1 species
GGAAGUAAAAGUCGUACAAGGUCUCCGUUGGUGAACCAGCGGAGGGAUCAUUACAGGACUCGCAAGACUCCUACAACCCUGUGAACUUAACUAUAAGCACGUUGCUUCGGCGGGUGUCUCGGAGAAGGUUCUCCCUCCCCGGGGCGCUAAGCCCGCCGGCAGCCUACUAUACUCUGUCUCUUUGCGUUGGCAUCUCGAGUACAAACAAACAAGUUAAAACUUUCAACAACGGAUCUCUUGGUUCUG